rnacentral:rRNA from 1 species
GACGAACGCUGGCGGCACGCUUAAAACAUGCAAGUCGAACGUGAAGCCCGGGCUUGCCCGGGUGGAAAGUGGCGAACGGGUGCGUAACACGUGAGCAACCUGCCCCGAAGACCGGGAUAACACCGGGAAACCGGUGCUAAUACCGGAUGCCUUCACCAUGUCGCAUGGCGAGGUGAAGAAAUGGAUUCCGCUUCGGGAUGGGCUCGCGGCCUAUCAGCUUGUUGGUGGGGUAACGGCCUACCAAGGCAACGACGGGUAGCUGGUCUGAGAGGAUGUCCAGCCACACUGGGACUGAGACACGGCCCAGACUCCUACGGGAGGCAGCAGUUAGGAAUCUUGCGCAAUGGGCGAAAGCCUGACGCAGCGAUGCCGCGUGCGGGAUGAAGGCCCUCGGGUCGUAAACCGCUUUCAGCAGGGACGAUAAUGACGGUACCUGCAGAAGAAGCCCCGGCCAACUACGUGCCAGCCGCCGCCGUAAAAC